CCUUAACCCUCUCAACCAUGAACGAGGGGAAGAGCUCUGAACCCAGAUGAGGGACACUAGGUCUAGAUAGCUGUCAGAGAGACCUGAAUGAAUGAAAUAAUCAUAAUGGAUCCCAUCCAUCCAGUAUAAAUGAAACAACUAAAGAAGCUCUAUAUGUGAAUGUCACGCUGGUGACAUACGUUGUUUUAACAAUUGUGGAGAUGGGAAUCCUGUGUUAAGCCACAGACCAGGAGUGUUUGGGACUGCAGCAAGAUGAACCUCCCCCACAAUGCCCCACCAUCAUUGCUCAACCGAGAUCUUGAGGGACUGCCUCUCAGGGCACCCAACUUUCUCAGCAAAGAAAUAACAACCACCACAACAAAUUUUGGGAGUACUUACCACAUCUGUGUUUGUGAUCUUGGCCAGGAGUUCUGUUAGACUGUCA